rnacentral:lncRNA from 1 species
UUUCUAGAAAUCCACAAAGAUAUUUCUUGGCUCCAAAGGCAUCCCUCUUAAUUGUUCUUUAUGUCUCUCAUGGAUAGGUUUCACAAUAAUAAACUGCAUAGCUUUUCUUCUAUCCCAACUACAAAUCCUUGCAUAAUGUGAACCAUCAUCCAAGUUUCUAGUUUCCAUUCUAGCAGUUUUAAUAUAGGGUUGACCAAGUAUUUCCGAAUAUGUAGCAAAGUUUUACACGUAGAAGUUUUGCUUCACUUCCACAUCUCCAAUCCUAGUCCUUACAACUGGGCAAACUCCAUAUAAAUCACCUUAUUGGUUGUUUGCAGCUCUAAUUAUCCAACUAUGAUUAGUAUCAACUAGC